rnacentral:miRNA from 1 species
UGGGGGCGUGGCGCCUCCUGAGCACCUGGCGCCUCCUGAGCACCUGGCGCUGGGGCACGAGCCGGAGGCGACAG